CGCCUAACACAUGCAAGUCGAACGCAGUAGCAAUACUGAGUGGCAAACGGGUGAGUAUAAUGUGGGAAUCUGCCUUUUGGUUCGGAAUAACACGGGGAAACUUGUGCUAAUACCGGAUAAGCCUUCACAGGGAAAGUUUUAAUGCCAAAAGAUGAGCCCGCACUUGAUUAGCUAGUUGGUGAGGUAAUUGCUCACCAAGGCAAUGAUCAAUAGCUGUUCUUAGAGGAAGACCAGCCACAUUGGGACUGAGACACGGCCCAGACUCCUACGGGAGGCAGCAGUGGGGAAUCUUGCACAAUGGGGGAAACCCUGAUGCAGCGAUGCCGCGUGAGUGAAGAAGGCCCUUGGGUUGUAAAACUCUUUCGUCGGGGAAGAAAAUGACUGUACCCGAAUAAGAAGGUCCGGCUAACUUCGUGCCAGCAGCCGCGGUAAUACGAAGGGACCUAGCGUAGUUCGGAAUUACUGGGCUUAAAGAGCUCGUAGGUGGUUAAAAAAGUUGAUUGUGAAAUCCCAAGGCUUAACCUUGGAACUGCAAUCAAAACUUUUUAGCUAGAGUAUGAUAGAGGAAAGUGGAAUUUCUAGUGUAGAGGUGAAAUUCGUAGAUAUUAGAAAGAACACCAAAUGCGAAGGCAACUUUCUGGAUCAUUACUGACACUGAGGAGCGAAAGCAUGGGUAGCGAAGAGGA
rnacentral:rRNA from 1 species